UUAAAAAGCAGUGCCCUCAAAUUAAUCCCUGGACUUGUUUUGAUUAACUUUUACAAAACAAAUUAAGGUGUAAAAGUCUAAAAUAGAAAUAAAAGUAGGAAAAAACAAAAUGAGAAGGAAACAGUUUAUUAAAUAUGAAAGUAGACCAGUGUUGAGGACGAAGGAAGUCAAUUAGAAGAAAACAAAAAGUGAAAUAUGGUUAUAUAUUUAUUAUUUGUUUAGUAUUUGUAUCUAUAUUCGUACUUGUAUUUAUAUUUUCUUUUUAAGUUUAUUCCUUUAGUGUCGUAUGUGUUUGUGUUGCAACAAUAAAAUUUAUUUAAAACAACAACAGCAGCAGCAACUAGAUGGGCACCACUUCAACAGGGAUGGAACCAGACGGUUGGUGCUUAAAAUAAAAAAGGUGGCGGAGCAGCUUGUAAACUGAUUGAAGAGGAGGAAGGAAGCCAACAAGAACCGAGGAGGGUCUGGUUCAUAACAAAUCUCCUCCCUGGGAUGUAGAUGAUAAAACUGAUGAACAUUUACAUGGGAGUUGCAGAGAACUGGGCAUUCAGGUUGACAAUGGAACUUUGACCUUUGCCGAGAGCAUUGCUGGGCUCUGCCUCUGCCUCCUCAAGCUGGACAAUAAUCUGGUGGAGAUUUUCUGCAUUGAGCAAGGAGUUGGACUAGAUCAGGAAUGGGGAUUCUUGAGCCCAGGGAUCAAAUGUGGCCCUCCAGGCCUCUCUAUUUGGCCCUCAGGUGUGUUCCCAGGGCACACCCCCUCCCACAGGGCACACCUUUUUUUGAGUAUUUUUGCCUUGCUGGAAUGUGCCUUCUUGAACUGUGAUAAUGAAUCUCUCUUUCCAGGAAGGAGGAUAGAGAGAGGUGUGUGAGAAGACCUCUGAAUUUUGCAUGGCAGGAACUAUGGAUGGGAGAAUAUGUUAAUUUUUGUUUCGGUCAGUUUUUGGUUUUUCCAAUCUUUAGUUCUCUACAUUUCCUCAUCAGUUUGUGAUUUUUUAAAAAGAAGUUGUCAUGAAAAUUCAGCAGCAUUUUGGCACAUUCCCACCCUAAUAUACAUGUUUUUGUCAGCAAUUUUUCCUAAUAUAGGAAAUUAUAGAUACUUUUGCAAAAUAGUUUCUUUAGUAUAUAAUGCACUAGUGUGUGUUAUUUUCAAUAAAUGCAUUUUAUGCAUACUUUGCCCUAGUAUGUGCCUUUUGAAGGUACACAUUACUUGGCUGGAGUACUUCGUGGCAGUCAGGCAAUGCAGGCAGUGGGCAGGCAACUCCUUAACCCCCUCCCUUUUGUUUGUGUGUUAUAUGCACUGCUUUCAUUAAGGAGGCUUUAAAAAUAGUUAUUGAUUUUCAUUUCAGAGGAUCUUGGAAACCAAAUGAACAAUGAUAUUCUCUCAAUGAACAGCUUCCUCGAUGUUUGUAAAUAAUGUAUCGCUCACAAGCCCAACCAGUUACCCCCCCCCCUCCAUCAAGUGAUGUGGCAAAACCUGUUUCAAGCUGCGUUUCUACUAUCUAAGAUCCAAUUAACCAUUUGGAGCAGACUAAAACAUAACUAGAUCAAUCCAGAAUCAGAUUAAUAUCCCAUCCAUAAUCACAUUAAUCACAAUCUGUCCAUAAUUAGCCAUCAGAUAAUCCCAUUGGACAGGAGGUAACAGGCAGUAUCCAAUUAUCUCAUUAAUUAUCUAUUUUCAGUAUCUGUGCACAGUCCCACAACAUAUGAAAAUUGUUUCUCCAGGAAAAUAAAAGAAAGAAACUGCAGCCCUUUUAAGGCAAGCCCUACCCAAAGACAAACAUUCCCUUUUCUGGGAUCCUGUUGAGUCUUUGUAUCUUUACACCUACACUCUUUUUGCUCCCACAAAGUCCUAAGAGAUACCAUUCUCACCAAGUAAAAUAUUACAACCUCCUUCAGAGAGAAAUAAAGUCUCUCCCCCCAAAAAAAAUCCCAAUAAGUACAGCUGAAUGAAGAAGCAAUAGUUAAUAACUAUUUUCCAAUAGUAGCAGGACUAUUAUUGCGUAAGGAUUUAUCUUCCUACAGAUAUUUCAUGAUGUAUAUAAUAAAUUGCAUUCCAUUUGUUUUGA